rnacentral:rRNA from 1 species
UACGUAGGGUGCAAGCGUUGUCCGGAAUUAUUGGGCGUAAAGAGCUCGUAGGCGGUGUGUCGCGUCUGCUGUGAAAACCCAGGGCUCAACUCUGAGCUUGCAGUGGGUACGGGCACACUAGAGUGCUGUAGGGGAGACUGGAAUUCCUGGUGUAGCGGUGAAAUGCGCAGAUAUCAGGAGGAACACCGGUGGCGAAGGCGGGUCUCUGGGCAGUUACUGACGCUGAGGAGCGAAAGCAUGGGGAGCGAACAGG